CCUGGUAGGGAGAUGGAGGCUGGCUGGGACCAAAAAUGGUUUCCAAGCCACACAUCUGACCUGGAGUCCAUUUUUGGUCCCAGCCAGCCUCCAUCUCUCUGCCAGG